AUACAAACUGCAAAAAAAACAAGAAGAAAUGCCAUAGAUAGACAGUAAACAUAUAACGGUAAACCAUUCUCCUCACUCCUUCUAGCUGAUCUCUGCUAGUUCCCCAAAUGCGGGAAUCUCGACUGCAUAAUUUGUGGCAGUGGGGGACUGUGUUCGUGCUCUCCCCUG